GUCGCUUUUCCCGCAAGGGACACUAGUCGAGGUGCUGCAUGGCUGUCGUCAGCUCGUGUCGUGAGAUGUUGGGUUAAGUCCCGCAACGAGCGCAACCCUUGUCAUUAGUUGCUACAUUCAGUUGGGCACUCUAACGAGACUGCCGGUGACAAACCGGAGGAAGGUGGGGAUGACGUCAAGUCCUCAUGGCCCUUAUGGGUAGGGCUUCACACGUAAUACAAUGGCGCGUACAGAGGGUUGCCAAGCCGCGAGGUGGAGCCAAUCCCACAAAGCGCGUCGUAGUCCGGAUUGCAGUCUGCAACUCGACUGCAUGAAGUCGGAAUCGCUAGUAAUCGCGGAUCAGCAUGUCGCGGUGAAUACGUUCCCGGGUCUUGUACACACCGCCCGUCACACCAUGGGAGUGGGUUUCACCAGAAGCCGGUCGCCUAACCGCAAGGAGGGCGCCGACCACGGUGAGAUUCAUGACUGGGGUGAAGUCGUAACAAGGUAACCGUAA
rnacentral:rRNA from 1 species